rnacentral:rRNA from 1 species
UGAGGAAUAUUGGGCAAUGCCCGCAAGGGUGACCCAGCAACGCCGCGUGGAGGAUGAAUGUCGUAAGAUUGUAAACUCCUGUUAGAGGGGAAGAAUAGUACCGGUUGGACCGGUAUAUGACUGUACCCUCAGAGAAAGCCCCGGCUAACUACGUGCCAGCAGCCGCGGUAAUACGUAGGGGGCAAGCGUUGUCCGGAUUUACUGGGUGUAAAGGGCGCGCAGGCGGGAUAAAAAGUCAGUGGUGAAAUCCUACAGCUUAACUGUAGAACUGCCUUUGAUACUUUUAUUCUUGAGUUCGGGAGAGAGAGACGGAAUUCCAGGUGUAGUGGUGAAAUACGUAGAUAUCUGGAAGAACACCAGUGGCGAAGGCGGUCAACUGGCCCAUAACUGACGCUCAUGCACGAAAGCGUGGGGAGCAAACA